rnacentral:ncRNA from 2 species
AGUACUAUUGGGAAUGAAGUUCUCCCAAGAAAAAUAAAUGCUUAUUUUAGCUGAUGACUUCUACAAAUUU